rnacentral:rRNA from 1 species
UUGUUCGCCAAAUAACUACGAGUAAGAACUUAAAAUUUAAAAGACUUGACGGUACUUCACACCAACCUAGAGGAGCCUGUCCAAUAACCGAUAAUCCACGAUUAACCCAACCCGUUCUGGCCUAACAGUCUAUAUACCGCCGUCGCCAGCUUACCUUAUGAAAGAACCAAAGUAAGCCCAACAACACCACAUUAAUACGACAGGUCGAGGUGUAACUAAUGAAUGGGCAAAGAUGGGCUACAUUUUCUAACCCAGAAAACACGAACAGACUAUGAAACUAGAAACUGAAGGCGGAUUUAGCAGUAAGCUAAGAAUAGAAUGCUCAGCCGAAAUAAACGCAAUGAAGUGCGCACACACCGCCCGUCAUCCCUGUAAUAAC